GUAGGUGGCAAGCGUUGUCCGGAAUUAUUGGGCGUAAAGCGCGCGCAGGCGGUUCUUUAAGUCUGAUGUGAAAGCCCACGGCUCAACCGCGGAGGGUCAUUGGAAACUGGAGAACUUGAGUACAGAAGAGGAAAGCGGAAUUCCACGUGUAGCGGUGAAAUGCGUAGAGAUGUGGAGGAACACCAGUGGCGAAGGCGGCUUUCUGGUCUGUAACUGACGCUGAGGCGCGAAAGCGUGGGGAGCAAACAGGGAUUAGAUACCCUGGUAGUCCACGCCGUAAACGAUGAGUGCUAAGUGUUAGGGGGGUUUCCGCCCCCUUAGUGCUGCAGCUAACGCAUUAAGCACUCCGCCUGGGGAGUACGGCCGCAAGGCUG
rnacentral:rRNA from 1 species